rnacentral:rRNA from 1 species
UACAGAGGGGGCAAGCGUUGUUCGGAAUUACUGGGCGUAAAGGGCGCGUAGGCGGCCCACUAAGUCGAACGUGAAAUCCCCGGGCUCAACCCGGGAACUGCGUCCGAUACUGGUGGGCUUGAAUCCGGGAGAGGGAUGCGGAAUUCCAGGUGUAGCGGUGAAAUGCGUAGAUAUCUGGAGGAACACCGGUGGCGAAGGCGGGUCUCUGGGCCGAUACUGACGCUGAGGAGCGAAAGCGUGGGGAGCGAACAGG